UUGUGACUAUCAUUUUCACCAAGAAUUUAACAUAUAUAUUCUGUGGAUAGCAUUGAAUUUUAAAGUUUUUUCCUCUUACUUUUUUCUUAGUCAUAUAGUAUAAAAAGAUUAUAGAUUGAACAAUAUACCUUUUUGAUUUAGUAAUUUUAAUUUGAUUUUGAUUUUCUGCACUAGCUCAACAAUCUUUGGAUCAUCGGUAGUGUCAGACUAAUCAUGGCUUUUAUAUGCCCAAAUUUUUUUAGAAUGUUAAAAAGUCACUUUUAUUAACUAAACAGCUGUUGUGCAAGAAGAAUCCCACCGUCAAUCACGUGUUUCAUCACUCCAUCUGCCGCCACGCGUCAACCACACACUCGUUCUCCAAUCAUAUGCUUUGCUCCUCCCGCCGAUUAGAAAAAGUAAAACGGUAGUUAAUGUUUUACGGUCACCGGAAUCUGUUAUAAAAUUGAAAACUGUCUCUUGAGUCUUCUUUGUUUUACAGUUGUCAAAAACUUUUUAUAUUUUUAAUAUUAUCAUAUGCAAUAUGCAAUUCGGUUCAUAAAUUCGUUAUAAAAUAAAAAUAAGAUUUGAAUGCGGCACGUUGCUUCCAUCUAUUUAAUCAUUUGAUAAUGAUACAUGAACCAUAAUCAUAUGGCAUGUUUAGUGAUUGAUACCUUCUCUAAUGUCGCCUAGUUGAUCUACUUUGGUCCGAUAGAUUUAUAAGAAAAAACACAUGAGAUUAGUUUUGAGAAUGUUCAUUUGAUAUAUAGAGUUUUGAAAAUUUUAGAAGAAAAAUAUUUGAAAUUUAAUUUUGAAGCUUACGGGUGGGUCUUUAUGAACAAAAUAACUAAACUUAUGAGUGAGAUUAUAU
rnacentral:lncRNA from 1 species